rnacentral:rRNA from 1 species
GACGAACGCUGGCGGCGGGCCUAACACAUGCAAGUCGAGCGGAGCGGCGGACGGGUGAGUAAUGCCUAGGAAUCUGCCUGGUAGUGGGGGAUAAAGUCCGGAAACGGGCGCUAAUACCGCAUACUAUCAGAUGAGCCUAGGUCGGAUUAGCUAGUUGGUGGGGUAAAGGCAUACCAAGGCGACGAUCCGUAACUGGUCUUAGAGGAUGAUCAGUCACACUGGAACUGAGACACGGUCCAGACUCUUACUGGAGGCAGCAGUGGGGAAGAUUGGACAAUGUGCGAAAGCCUGAUCCAGCCAUGCCGCGUGUGUGAAGAAGGUCUUCGGAUUGGAAAGCACUUUAAGUUGGGAGGCGUUACCAACAGAAUAAGCACCGGCUAACUUCGUGCCAGCCGCCGCGGUAAUUC